AGAGUUUGAUCAUGGCUCAGGACGAACGCUGGCGGCGUGCCUAACACAUGCAAGUCGAGCGGAGACAGUGAGUAGCUUGCUAUGAGCUGUUUUAGCGGCGGACGGGUGAGUAACGCGUUAGCAACCUUUCCCAGACAGGGGAAGUAACACACCGAAAGGUGUACUAAUACCGCAUAAGACCACGGGAUCACAUGGUUCUGGGUAAAGAUUAUCGGUUUGGGGUGGGGCUCGCGUCCGAUUAGGUAGUUGGUGAGGUAACGG
rnacentral:rRNA from 1 species